AGCCAAUGUAGCUAAACAGUAACUCCUCCAGUAUGUGUUGACAUAAUUUCAGGAUUUGUUUUUGGACAGAAGCUGUAGAAAGCGAAUGCCUUCGGGAACCACCUUCUUGCACAGACUGAGAAGGGUGUGGAGGUUUUUGACGAGUCCUGUUGUCAAUCAAUGUGAGACUGAACAUCGACAAGGCGCAGGAGAAACAGAAGGAGCUACCGGGGGAGAAUCAAGAAGGGGAAGUAAGAAGGGCAAUCUGGGCAAAUUACUUAAGUUUGGAAGAAGGACGAAAGGAAGGCAAGACUUGGGGGAACCUCGCUGCUUUUUCGCUCCUAGCUGGAGUCACCAUCCGUUAAGGGUUACCUCGGUGGAAGCUAACAACCUUCUCCAGUUGGACAGUCUACCACCGAAAGCCCUGAUGCCCUGCACUUCAGUGAAGCCCAUUAGACAAAGACCAUCGACUGUCCGAGCACCCCAGGAGGUAUCCCAUCCACCAGAGCCAGUGAGUUCAGAUCAGUCUGGUUCUCUGAGUCAGAAGGGUACCAGCCUGAUAUCCUCCAUUACCAACCACUCUCCAACUUUUCAUUACAUCUGCUACAGCUACUGUUGUCAUUAUCUGCUCAGACCGUUUUCGUGCUCUAUCAUGCUGGGCACAUAUGUGUGAUACACAGAUUAACUAACUAAAAACACUAGCACUGCAAACACUCCGAACAAAGAGCGCAGCAGUGCCUGGACUUUGCAGUCCCCCUUCUGAGACUGGCUGCCUGUUGAGAACAAGUGACAGGCAGAAUCUCUCACCCACACAGCAACCACCUCUUUUAUAUUCCACACACCAGAAUUCUGUAUUUUAGUUUUUGAUUGCCAUGAGUGUAUAAAAAUAUUAGUGCCACAACUGUACCAAAAUAAUAUCAAUGUUUAUGUAUUAAUCUUUAAUAUUGCCAGGUUGGUUUUCACAGCUGUUUCACAAGGUGUUAAUUGUAAGGUAUCCCUUGAUGGUAUUUAUUAGUUCCACAUUACUUAUUGUUGUGUCCUCGGAUCUAUAAUAGAUACAUAUAUAUUCAACCACAAGGGUGUGCUAGUGAGCUAUGCAAGAUAGGAAAAAAAUGUAUCAUACUAGAGGACUACGAAAUUAUAUUAUUUCGGUGUAGAUGAGGGAAGGGCAGGUUAAGAUAUAAACAUGACAGCCAGACAAGCCAGUGUACGAAUCAAACAGAUUUGCUAAUGAAUGGAAAGGAAAUUAGCUGAUUUUUGUGAUCUGUAAGGGAAGUAACAAUGUGUCAAGCAGAUUAGUUAACCUCUGAAGCUCUCAACCUCAACACUAGAUGAGAAGAGUUCCUCUGUCCAGUGUCUGUGUUCUUUUGCCCAUCUUAAUCUUUUCUUUUAAUGGCCAGUUUGAGCUAUGGCUUUCUUUGCAACUCUGCCUUGAAAGCCAGCAUCCCGGAGUCACCUCUUCACUGUUGACGUUGAGACUGGUGUUUGGCGGGUGCUAUUCAAUGAAGCUGCUAGUUGAGACUGAAAUGUAAAAAUGUAUAAAACCAUAACUAGAGACUCAAUGAAUAGGGUACAACAAAGGGCUGCUGUUUUUAUGAGUAAGUGCAUGUCUGUUUUUAUUCAACACUUUGUGCAUUUUAUGGAUUAAAGUGUUGAACAUCCUCCAUACUUUCACUCACACUACAACCAGCA